rnacentral:rRNA from 1 species
AUUGAACGCUGGCGGCAGGCCUAACACAUGCAAGUCGAGCGGAUGACGGGAGCUUGCUCCUGGAUUCAGCGGCGGACGGGUGAGUAAUGCCUAGGAAUCUGCCUGGUAGUGGGGGACAACGUUUCGAAAGGAACGCUAAUACCGCAUACGUCCUACGGGAGAAAGCAGGGGACCUUCGGGCCUUGCGCUAUCAGAUGAGCCUAGGUCGGAUUAGCUUGUUGGUGAGGUAAUGGCUCACCAAGGCGACGAUCCGUAACUGGUCUGAGAGGAUGAUCAGUCACACUGGAACUGGGACACGGUCCAGACUCCUACGGGAGGCAGCAGUGGGGAAUAUUGGACAAUGGGCGAAAGCCUGAUCCAGCCAUGCCGCGCGUGUGAAGAAGGUCUUCGGAUUGUAAAGCACUUUAAGUUGGGAGGAAGGGUUGUAGAUUAAUACUCUGCAAUUUUGACGUUACCGACAGAAUAAGCACCGGCUAACUCUGUGCCAGCCGCCGCCGUAAAAC